CGAUCACAGUUUAAUGAUAUUCAGUUGUGUAACUCGCGGAAUUUCCUGUCCCCCAUGGUUAAUGCGCAUGCGCGAAGCAAAAGACCGUGUCAUGUGUUUUUUUUGUCUGAAAGCAUAUAGGAAAAUAAAAAAUUUGGACACUAAAACUACGAUUUUAAAGAAUAUAUCCAUCAGGAAUGCUGGACUUACACAAAUUUUACAGGAAGGGAUGUCAUUCUAAAUUUUCCACAAGAAAAUGCCUUUAAGAAUCGG